AGGAUUCUCACUGUGUGGACACAGGGAAAGAUUUUUGGCCUGAGCAGAGGAAAACCAUCAUCGAGUGCCCACGUUCAAAGGAUUAUGUUGUAGUCCUCGCCGAUGGAAGGAUGGACUCAUCAGGUCAUUCUGCACAAUUCUGCACACAAGCUGCAAUUGAGAACGAAUCUGGAGACAUAAUCAGCGUUGUAACUGUUUACAAGAGGGAGACGACCAGAAGCUCUGUUGCAAUGGAGAAGGCCUUCAUAAGGAA